GCUUUGAAGUGUGGACGCCAGUCUGCAUGGAGCCGACCUUGAAAUACCACCCUUUAAUGUUUGAUGUUCUAACGUGGACCCGUGAUCCGGGUUGCGGACAGUGUCUGGUGGGUAGUUUGACUGGGGCGGUCUCCUCCUAAAGAGUAACGGAGGAGCACGAAGGUUGGCUAAUCCUGGUCGGACAUCAGGAGGUUAGUGCAAUGGCAUAAGCCAGCUUGACUGCGAGCGUGACGGCGCGAGCAGGUGCGAAAGCAGGUCAUAGUGAUCCGGUGGUUCUGAAUGGAAGGGCCAUCGCUCAACGGAUAAAAGGUACUCCGGGGAUAACAGGCUGAUACCGCCCAAGAGUUCAUAUCGACGGCGGUGUUUGGCACCUCGAUGUCGGCUCAUCACAUCCUGGGGCUGAAGUAGGUCCCAAGGGUAUGGCUGUUCGCCAUUUAAAGUGGUACGCGAGCUGGGUUUAGAACGUCGUGAGACAGUUCGGUCCCUAUCUGCCGUGGGCGCUGGAGAACUGAGGGGGGCUGCUCCUAGUACGAGAGGACCGGAGUGGACGCAUCACUGGUGUUCGGGUUGUCAUGCCAAUGGCACUGCCCGGUAGCUAAAUGCGGAAGAGAUAAGUGCUGAAAGCAUCUAAGCACGAAACUUGCCCCGA
rnacentral:rRNA from 3 species